GUUAAAAUGUGUGAAGUGAAGUAUUCUGGAAAAAGCAAGUUCUUGGAUUCCACUCAGAAGGGAGGGGAGAGGAGGUAGGCUGGGUUGAUCCUAAUGGUGGUACCCUGGACAAAAGAACCGAUGGGGAGCCAGGAGGAGGGAUAGGAACCUGAAAAGGCAGAGGACCAAUGAGGAGCACGAGUCCGGGUUCUCUUUUGGAAAGUCAAAUGUAGGCGAUGGACAAGAACUGUUGGAGCAGCAGAUCUGAGAGGCAAAGCUCUGUCUUCAUUCAAGAGGACUGACUCAUUUUGGUCCAAGAUUACUUAGACUUUCUCUUUUAAUUGGGACUAGCUCUUACAAUUGCUAAUGCGGGGAACGAGCAAGGGCUCUGUCAUUUCAGCCCUGCGUGCCUGUGGGGCCAGGGAUAAGGCCUUGACAGUCCGGAAGGAGAUCUCUGGGCAGGGCUUUGCCAGUAACACUUGACCUUAGGGCUAAUGACGGUCUCUUCAACUCCCAGAUGGUGCUCAAGCCCCAGGGUUCCCAUUGUUAAAAUCUAGAAUAAGGGGAAGCCUCUUUAAGAUGAUCUGCAGGCACAGAGGGCAGAAACACUUCUGCUCUGGAGCCGGUGGAGCGCAUAAUCCCAGGGCCUGCCAUUCAUGCUGUGGACAUGACCGGGACCUCCCAGCAGGGUGGAGGAAUGGCCUGCUCAGCUGCACACCAUGGUCUUCUACCAGCUGCAUCUAGUGGAGCUCCCAGUCCAGAAAAGGAGCUAUUAUUUCUGUGUGGGGAAAAUGGAUGACAAGAACAAUGCCUGCCGACUCCUCCUUGCUGCCCCAGUCUCACUGCCCUCCAGCAGAGGCCACCUCUCAGAGUCCUGCACUACUCAAACAACCAGCAAGGGCUUGGCACUGGGCUCCUUGGGAAACGCCUGCCAGGCUGAAUUGUUCAAGGCUGGAAUCACAGCUG
rnacentral:lncRNA from 1 species